AAAUUGAAGAGUUUGAUCAUGGCUCAGAUUGAACGCUGGCGGCAGGCCUAACACAUGCAAGUCGAACGGUAACAGGAAGCAGCUUGCUGCUUUGCUGACGAGUGGCGGACGGGUGAGUAAUGUCU
rnacentral:rRNA from 5 species